rnacentral:rRNA from 1 species
AGCAGCCGCGGUAAUUCCAGCUCCAAUAGCGUAUAUUAAAGUUGUUGCAGUUAAAAAGCUCGUAGUUGAAUUUCGGGGUUAGUAGGUUGGUCAUGCCUCUGGUAUGUACUGGUCUCACUGAUUCCUCCUUCCUGAUGAGCCGUAAUGCCAUUAAUUUGGUGUUGCGGGGAAUUUGGACUGUUACUUUGAAAAAUUAGAGUGUUUAAAGCAAGCUAACGCUUGAAUACAUUAGCAUGGAAUAAUGAAAUAGGACGUUCGAUCCUAUUUUGUUGGUUUCUAGGAUUGACGUAGUGAUUAAUAGGGAUAGUUGGGGCAUUAGUAUUCAAUUGUCAGAGGUGAAAUUCUUGGAUUUAUUGAAGACUAACUACUGCGAAAGCAUUUGCCAAGGAUGUUUUCAUUAAUACAAGAACGAAAGUUAGGGAUCGAAGACGAUCAGAUACCGUCGUA